CAGUCCGAACGCAUCCUUUCGGGAUGAGUGGCAGACGGGUGAGUAACGCGUGGGAACGUGCCCUUCAGUUCGGAAUAACCCAGGGAAACUUGGGCUAAUACCGGAUACGUGCGAGAGCAGAAAGAUUUAUCGCUGAAGGAUCGGCCCGCGUCUGAUUAGCUAGUUGGUGGGGUAAUGGCCCACCAAGGCGACGAUCAGUAGCUGGUCUGAGAGGAUGAUCAGCCACAUUGGGACUGAGACACGGCCCAAACUCCUACGGGAGGCAGCAGUGGGGAAUAUUGGACAAUGGGCGCAAGCCUGAUCCAGCCAUGCCGCGUGAGUGAUGAAGGCCUUAGGGUUGUAAAGCUCUUUCAGUGGGGACGAUAAUGACGGUACCCGCAGAAGAAGCCCCGGCUAACUUCGUGCCAGCAGCCGCGGUAAUACGAAGGGGGCUAGCGUUGUUCGGAAUCACUGGGCGUAAAGGGCGCGUAGGCGGCUUUGUAAGUCGGGGGUGAAAGCCUGUGGCUCAACCACAGAAUUGCCUUCGAUACUGCAUGGCUUGAGACCGGAAGAGGUUAGUGGAACUGCGAGUGUAGAGGUGAAAUUCGUAGAUAUUCGCAAGAACACCAGUGGCGAAGGCGGCUGACUGGUCCGGUUCUGACGCUGAGGCGCGAAAGCGUGGGGAGCAAACAGGAUUAGAUACCCUGGUAGUCCACGCCG
rnacentral:rRNA from 1 species